rnacentral:rRNA from 1 species
GAAUAUUGGACAAUGGGCGCAAGCCUGAUCCAGCCAUGCCGCGUGAGUGAUGAAGGCCCUAGGGUUGUAAAGCUCUUUCGGCGGGGAAGAUAAUGACGGUACCCGCAGAAGAAGCCCCGGCCAACUUCGUGCCAGCAGCCGCGGUAAUACGAAGGGGGCUAGCGUGGCUCGGAAUCACUGGGCGUAAAGCGCACGUAGGCGGGUCCUUAAGUCGGGGGUGAAAUCCUGGAGCUCAACUCCAGAACUGCCUUCGAUACUGGGGAUCUCGAGUCCGGGAGAGGUGAGUGGAACUCCGAGUGUAGAGGUGAAAUUCGUAGAUAUUCGGAAGAACACCAGUGGCGAAGGCGGCUCACUGGCCCGGUACUGACGCUGAGGUGCGAAAGCGUGGGGAGCAAACAGG